AGUGGAAUAGCUGGGUCAAAUGGUGGUUCUAUUCCAAGUUUUCUAAGGAAUUUCCAAACCACAUUCUAGAGUGAUUGCACCAAUUUGCAGUCCCACCAGCAAU
rnacentral:pre_miRNA from 1 species